UUUUACCUUUGACGAGAUAUCUUGUGCAUCGGGAUUCCGGUGAUGCUUUGGGUAAUCUCAGAGUUGAGGUUUUCCACUAGGGAAUCCGACGAGAUCGCGAGCUUCGUGAUUGAGGAUUUCUAUGCGGCUUGUGGUAAUUUGUGAUGGACUAGUUGGAGCACCCCUGCAGGGUUAAAUCUUUUCGGAAAGCCGUGUCCGCGGUUAUGUGGCAACGUGGAUACUUUGUUUAACACUGGUUCUAGAUGACUUGAAGUUAACUUAAUUAAACUAUGCCAACUGUGUGCGUAACCGUGACUGUCUCUUUCGUGAGUUCUUACUCCGAUCGAGGACAUGGUGGGGUUAUGUCUGACGUAGGUAGGUGUUCAGGAUCAUUC
rnacentral:lncRNA from 1 species